rnacentral:rRNA from 1 species
GACAGAGGGUGCAAACGUUGUUCGGAAUUACUGGGCGUAAAGCGCACGUAGGCGGAUUUGUAAGUCAGGGGUGAAAUCCCGGGGCUCAACCUCGGAACUGCCUUUGAUACUGCAAAUCUCGAGUCCGGAAGAGGUGAGUGGAAUUCCUGGUGUAGCGGUGAAAUGACGCAGAUAUCAGGAGGAACACCAAUUGCGAAGGCAGCUCGCUGGGACGUUACUGACGCUGAGACGCGAAAGCGUGGGGAGCAAACAGG